GACGAACGCUGGCGGCGUGCCUAAUACAUGCAAGUAGAACGCUGAAGCGAGGAGCUUGCUCUUCUUGGAUGAGUUGCGAACGGGUGAGUAACGCGUAGGUAACCUGCCUUGUAGCGGGGGAUAACUAUUGGAAACGAUAGCUAAUACCGCAUAACAAUGGAUGACCCAUGUCAUUUAUUUGAAAGGGGCAAAUGCUCCACUACAAGAUGGACCUGCGUUGUAUUAGCUAGUAGGUGAGGUAACGGCUCACCUAGGCGACGAUACAUAGCCGACCUGAGAGGGUGAUCGGCCACACUGGGACUGAGACACGGCCCAGACUCCUACGGGAGGCAGCAGUAGGGAAUCUUCGGCAAUGGGGGCAACCCUGACCGAGCAACGCCGCGUGAGGGAAGAAGGUUUUCGGAUCGUAAAGCUCUGUUGUAAGUCAAGAACGAGUGUGAGAGUGGAAAGUUCACACUGUGACGGUAGCUUACCAGAAAGGGACGGCUAACUACGUG
rnacentral:rRNA from 1 species